rnacentral:lncRNA from 10 species
CUGGGGGACAGAGCGAGACUCCGUCUCAAAACAACAAAAAAGAGCAUCUCCUCUACCGAGAAGGGAAGACAGGGGAGUCCAUCGGGUGCGCACUCCGCUGUCGCCCAGGCUGGGUUGCUGGGGCGCCAGUCUGCGGUGUUCAGGCCCAAAGCCUGCAGCCUGUUCAGUCCAGGGCACCGCAGGCGCCAGAACUCUGGCGGGCGGGCGGGCGGGCGGCGAGAAGGGCUGUCUAGGGCGCACGCCUCCCGCAGGGGCGUCAGAGGGUCGGGGCCGCAGGAAAGGAGGUGGGCGAGGACUAGCGAAUGUAGAAGGGAAGGGCGCAGAGAACUUGACUUCCCACCUUUUGCGCUUUCCAGGCCAGCUCAGGGGCGAGUGUGGGCAGGGCGAGUGUGGGCACGGCGAGUGUGGGCAGGGCGAGUGUGGGCAGGGCGAGUGUGGGCAGGGCGAGUGUGGGCAGGGCGUGUGGGCACGGCGAGUGUGGGCACGGCGAGUGUGGGCACGGCGAGUGUGGGCAGGGCGAGUGUGGGCACGGCGAGUGUGGGAGACCCUAGGUCUGCGCCACCGCCGGCGUGAGCCUGAAAAGCUGCUGGGAGAACCAGCUCCGAAACAGAGUGCCCGGAAGAGAUUGUGACACCUAUGGAAAUUUAAUGAAUUGAUAAAGGGAUCGAUUCGAUUCAAUGUGAGAAUGUUAGUUUAUUUAAUAAAUAGUGCUGGUAUAGUUGUCGAUCUAGAAGAAACUCAAUCCUCUGGUUUUCGGUAUACACAAAAUUGGUUCUGGAUUUAUUAUAGGUUUUUUGUUUUGCUUUACUUUUAGUCAAAUCGUUGAAGAAAUAUUAUGGGGCAUUUUUCUAGGCUUUAUUAUUAACUAUUAUUAUUCGAUGAGACAACAUCCUAAACUACACUUUUUGGCAAGCUACUCAGGCAGUAUCUCUUACCAUUUUAAAUAAACAUAACGUUUAACACAGCAAUCCUAACUUGGGACAGCUAUCCCACAAAAACAAAAGCACCUGGAUAAGAGGAAACUGUAGGGGAAAGUGUUUUGAUGGAAACCGGCAUGAGGGCCCUCCUUUCCGGUUUUGAUUCUAUCGGGUCUCUGAGGCCUUCCGGGCUUUUGGGCUAUUUUACAACAUUGUAGCUGAUUGCAAUGCAAAAAUAGCCCGGCCCCUAGACAGGUACGUGAAUUCUGUUCCGUGGAGAUUCGGUUGACUACGCUCCCCAACUGUGGAAGAGGCCAGCUGUGUGUCCAUUUACACGUUCACUUUGCUAUUCAUCUAUAAAUGUGUCUGUUCUUUGGAUUGUCCUUGGUUUAAACAUCUUCAUUAUUGCCUCCAUAAUGAAUUAA